rnacentral:rRNA from 3 species
GACGAACGCUGGCGGCGUGCCUAAUACAUGCAAGUCGAACGAACUCUGGUAUUGAUUGGUGCUUGCAUCAUGAUUUACAUUUGAGUGAGUGGCGAACUGGUGAGUAACACGUGGGAAACCUGCCCAGAAGCGGGGGAUAACACCUGGAAACAGAUGCUAAUACCGCAUAACAACUUGGACCGCAUGGUCCGAGUUUGAAAGAUGGCUUCGGCUAUCACUUUUGGAUGGUCCCGCGGCGUAUUAGCUAGAUGGUGAGGUAACGGCUCACCAUGGCAAUGAUACGUAGCCGACCUGAGAGGGUAAUCGGCCACAUUGGGACUGAGACACGGCCCAAACUCCUACGGGAGGCAGCAGUAGGGAAUCUUCCACAAUGGACGAAAGUCUGAUGGAGCAACGCCGCGUGAGUGAAGAAGGGUUUCGGCUCGUAAAACUCUGUUGUUAAAGAAGAACAUAUCUGAGAGUAACUGUUCAGGUAUUGACGGUAUUUAACCAGAAAGCCACGGCUAACUACGUGCCAGCAGCCGCGGUAAUACGUAGGUGGCAAGCGUUGUCCGGAUUUAUUGGGCGUAAAGCGAGCGCAGGCGGUUUUUUAAGUCUGAUGUGAAAGCCUUCGGCUCAACCGAAGAAGUGCAUCGGAAACUGGGAAACUUGAGUGCAGAAGAGGACAGUGGAACUCCAUGUGUAGCGGUGAAAUGCGUAGAUAUAUGGAAGAACACCAGUGGCGAAGGCGGCUGUCUGGUCUGUAACUGACGCUGAGGCUCGAAAGUAUGGGUAGCAAACAGGAUUAGAUACCCUGGUAGUCCAUACCGUAAACGAUGAAUGCUAAGUGUUGGAGGGUUUCCGCCCUUCAGUGCUGCAGCUAACGCAUUAAGCAUUCCGCCUGGGGAGUACGGCCGCAAGGCUGAAACUCAAAGGAAUUGACGGGGGCCCGCACAAGCGGUGGAGCAUGUGGUUUAAUUCGAAGCUACGCGAAGAACCUUACCAGGUCUUGACAUACUAUGCAAAUCUAAGAGAUUAGACGUUCCCUUCGGGGACAUGGAUACAGGUGGUGCAUGGUUGUCGUCAGCUCGUGUCGUGAGAUGUUGGGUUAAGUCCCGCAACGAGCGCAACCCUUAUUAUCAGUUGCCAGCAUUAAGUUGGGCACUCUGGUGAGACUGCCGGUGACAAACCGGAGGAAGGUGGGGAUGACGUCAAAUCAUCAUGCCCCUUAUGACCUGGGCUACACACGUGCUACAAUGGAUGGUACAACGAGUUGCGAACUCGCGAGAGUAAGCUAAUCUCUUAAAGCCAUUCUCAGUUCGGAUUGUAGGCUGCAACUCGCCUACAUGAAGUCGGAAUCGCUAGUAAUCGCGGAUCAGCAUGCCGCGGUGAAUACGUUCCCGGGCCUUGUACACACCGCCCGUCACACCAUGAGAGUUUGUAACACCCAAAGUCGGUGGGGUAACCUUUUAGGAACCAGCCGCCUAAGGUGGGACAGAUGAUUAGGGUGAAG